rnacentral:rRNA from 1 species
UAGGGAAUCUUCGGCAAUGGGGGGAACCCUGACCGAGCAACGCCGCGUGAGUGAAGAAGGUUUUCGGAUCGUAAAGCUCUGUUGUUAGAGAAGAACAGCGCAUAGAGUAACUGUUAUGCGUGUGACGGUAUCUAACCAGAAAGCCACGGCUAACUACGUGCCAGCAGCCGCGGUAAUACGUAGGUCCCGAGCGUUGUCCGGAUUUAUUGGGCGUAAAGCGAGCGCAGGCGGUUAGAUAAGUCUGAAGGUAAAGGCAGUGGCUCAACCAUUGUAGGCUUUGGAAACUGUGUAACUUGAGUGCAGAAGGGGAGAGUGGAAUUCCAUGUGUAGCGGUGAAAUGCGUAGAUAUAUGGAGGAACACCGGUGGCGAAAGCGGCUCUCUGGACUGUAACUGACGCUGAGGCUCGAAAGCGUGGGGAGCGAACAGG